rnacentral:rRNA from 1 species
CCUACGGGGUGCAGCAGUGGGGAAUAUUGGACAAUGGGCGAAAGCCUGAUCCAGCCAUGCCGCGUGUGUGAAGAAGGCCUUCGGGUUGUAAAGCACUUUCAGUGGGGAAGAAAGCCUUGGGGCUAAUACCCUCGAGGAAGGACAUCACCCACAGAAGAAGCACCGGCUAACUCCGUGCCAGCAGCCGCGGUAAUACGGAGGGUGCGAGCGGUUAAUCGGAAUUACUGGGCGUAAAGCGCGCGUAGGCGGUCUGAUAAGCCGGUUGUGAAAGCCCCGGGCUCAACCUGGGAACGGCAUCCGGAACUGUCAGGCUAGAGUGCAGGAGAGGAAGGUAGAAUUCCCGGUGUAGAGGUGAAAUGCGUAGAGAUCGGGAGGAAUACCAGUGGCGAAGGCGGCCUUCUGGACUGACACUGACGCUGAGGUGCGAAAGCGUGGGUAGCAAACAGGAUUAGAUACCCGGUAGUC